rnacentral:rRNA from 1 species
UGAGGAAUAUUGGUCAAUGGGCGAGAGCCUGAACCAGCCAAGUCGCGUGAGGGAGUACUGCCCUAUGGGUUGUAAACCUCUUUUGUCGGGGAGCAAAAGCCGGACGUGUCCGGCUGUGAGAGUACCCGAAGAAAAAGCAUCGGCUAACUCCGUGCCAGCAGCCGCGGUAAUACGGAGGAUGCGAGCGUUAUCCGGAUUUAUUGGGUUUAAAGGGUGCGCAGGCGGAUUUUUAAGUCAGCGGUCAAAUCGUGGGGCUCAACCCCAUCCAGCCGUUGAAACUGGGGAUCUAGAGUGUGCGAGAGG